UUGGGAAGAGGAUUAAUGAUGGAUUGUCUGUGUUUACAGGAGAAAUGAUAGCAAUUCUAUUAGUGGUAGUGGGUGGAAGAUUUGAGGCCAUUGAAAGCAAUUAUUUGUUCAGAUUCAAGUGCAGCCUUGGUCAGUCUACAGAACGGUCAUUCGAAAGUGGUGGCGGUAAUGCACCAUGCAGUUGUUUGCCAACCGCCAAUAAUACUUACAAGAAGAAGAAGAAUUAGGUAUUCUCUGGAGCAAACCUGAAGCUGCGAGUGCUUGGUCCAAGCCGGGCAAGUUUGCACUUUUAACUUCUUUUAUGAAAGCUUGAUGCGGGCCCCAUAGCUUUCUGUUAGAACGGUGGGAAACAUUGCUUUCCUGUGAGAACCGUGUAGUGGACUCCACUGCCACUGACCAAUGUUUAUUAGGGUGUGAUGCGGACUUGUGGACAGAGUACCGAGCUGCUGCUUUGCCGAGUGGAUUUCUGGCUGUGGGCAAAGGGCCCGACACAUCAGUGUAUUUUAAUUUGUUUUAACCUGGUAUAAUUCGAUAGAUUGUGACGGCUGCGGCUGUCGAUUUUGUUUGCUUGUUUUAUUUUUCUGUAUCAGUAGGCACCACAGACAUUGAUUGUCUUUUAGUGUUUUACCCUGUUUUCAUAUAUAUAUAUCGUUGCAGACAGUGAAGGCGCUGCGUGGAAAACAAAUGCAAAUCACUGCAGCACUUGAAGACACGAGACAAAAGCUAAUUGAAUACGUGUUUGGUACUGAAAUGAAUUGUGCAAAGCAGUGGCAAGCCCUUUUGUUAAAAUAAAAGAUGAAUAUCUGUGCACCACACAUAUACAAGCAAUGUCUCCAAUAAUAUAUUCAUGCAACUUCUGGGACGAUUUUUUUCAAAUGUUCUUCAGAACUACCCCCAGCAAAGGUUAACUUUUGUGUUUAGCAGCAUAAUUCACAUUACAUUUAAGUGAAAACGUGUUCAGAGUUGCUAAAAUUUAUAAUAUUGGUUAAUUCUUGAGAUAUAGGAACAAUAAUGUUACAAUUCCUAUACCUUUGCUAGAUUUAACAAUAGUUUUUCGGUAGAAAAUUAUAUUAUAAUUUUUCUU